rnacentral:rRNA from 1 species
AGAGUUUGAUCCUGGCUCAGAUUGAACGCUGAGGCUUAACACAUGCAAGUCGAACGUGAAAGUACUUCGGUAUGAGUAAAGUGGCGCACGGGUGAGUAACACGUAGGUGACCUGCCGUUUAGAGGGGGAUAACCAGAAGAAAUUUUGGCUAAUACCGCAUACGAAGAACGAACUUAAAUAUAGUUCUUGAAAGGAUGCCUCUGUAUAUGCACUAAACGAUGGGCCUGCGGUACAUUAGCUAGUUGGUGGGGUAAUGGCCUACCAAGGCGACGAUGUAUAACGGAUCUGAGAGGAUGAUCCGUCACACUGGAACUGAGACACGGUCCAGACUCCUACGGGAGGCAGCAGUGGGGAAUAUUGGACAAUGGGCGAAAGCCUGAUCCAGCAAUUCUGCGUGAGUGAGGAAGGACUUCGGUCUGUAAAGCUCUGUUAAUGUGGAAAAAUGGUUAGUGGUCUAGUAGGCCGCUGAUUUGAUGGUACACAUAGAGGAAGCACCGGCUAACUUCGUGCCAGCAGCCGCGGUAAUACGAAGGGUGCAAGCGUUGUUCGGAUUUAUUGGGCGUAAAGCGCGCGUAGGCGGACCUGUAAGUCAGAUGUGAAAUCUCGGUGCUCAACACCGAAACUGCGUCUGAAACUGCGGGUCUAGAAUCUUGGAGGGGGAGUGGGAAUUUCGCAUGUAGGGGUAAAAUCCGUAGAGAUGCGAAGGAACACCAGAGGCGAAGGCGCACUCCUGGACAAGUAUUGACGCUGAGGCGCGAAAGCGUGGGGAUCAAACAGGAUUAGAUACCCUGGUAGUCCACGCUGUAAACGAUGAGCACUAGAUAUUGGAGGAUUUGACCCCUUCAGUGUCGCAGCUAACGCGUUAAGUGCUCCGCCUGGGAAGUACGGUCGCAAGACUAAAACUCAAAGGAAUUGACGGGGGCCCGCACAAGCGGUGGAUUAUGUGGUUUAAUUCGAAGCAACGCGCAGAA